rnacentral:lncRNA from 1 species
UAAUCCAAGGGCUGUUCACCUUAGUAGAACAUUUGAAUAUAUGAACUCUGACUGAGAAUCGUGCUGCCCCAGUCCUGGUGCUGGAGACAUGACCGACCACACUUGCUGACUCUUCAGGAUGGCGUGUCACCGGGAGCCACCGCUACUGGGUCGCAGGAUUUCGCAAACAAUGUGGAAAUGAAAGGCAAGACUGUCCAGACAUUCGGAAAGUUGAGUGUUCUCUUCCGGGAAGUCAUCGAGCUACGCCCAGCUCUUCCCACCUUUCUGAUUGAAAUGCAGACGUGCGAAUGAAGAAGCCACACUGGAUGGCCAGCCAGAACUUCCAUGGUACCUGACUUGGCUGUCAUCCGACUGCCUUCUUUCAGCAGGAGAGAGUCCGGGGAAGAACUGUGCCAUUGUCUGGACAAGGACUGUGAAUAGUUUGUGGUAAUUUAUGGAGCCGCAGGGGGAAUGGCUCCUAGAGGUAACGACAGCAUCUGUCUGGUAGUCAGUCAUGGAGUAAUAUUGCAGAGUCAUCCUGCUUCAGGCUUCCGAGUGAAGGGAUUACAUGGUUCUUGAUAAAUUUAGAUGUAAAAACUGAAAUUCCUUUCCUACAGUCUGGAAUAAAGCAGAUUAUCAUGUC